rnacentral:rRNA from 1 species
UCAGUCGACUCCUACGGGGAGGCAGCAGUGGGGAAUAUUGCACAAUGGGGGAAACCCUGAUGCAGCCAUGCCGCGUGUGUGAAGAAGGCCUUCGGGUUGUAAAGCACUUUCAGUAGGGAGGAAGGUAGUGUAGUUAACACCUGCAUUAUUUGACGUUACCUACAGAAGAAGCACCGGCUAACUCCGUGCCAGCAGCCGCGGUAAUACGGAGGGUGCGAGCGUUAAUCGGAAUUACUGGGCGUAAAGCGCAUGCAGGCGGCCUGUUAAGUCAGAUGUGAAAGCCCGGGGCUUAACCUCGGAAUUGCAUUUGAAACUGGCAGGCUAGAGUCUUGUAGAGGGGGGUAGGAAUUUCAGGUGUAGCGGUGAAAUGCGUAGAGAUCUGAAGGAAUACCAGUGGCGAAGGCGGCCCCCUGGACAAAGACUGACGCUCAGAUGCGAAAGCGUGGGGACGCAAACGAGGAUUAGAUACCCCUGGUAG